GCACUUUAAGCAGUGAAGAAGACUCCGUGGUUAAUACCCGGAGACGAUGACAUUAGCUGCAGAAUAAGCACCGGCUAACUCUGUGCCAGCAGCCGCGGUAAUACAGAGGGUGCAAGCGUUAAUCGGAAUUACUGGGCGUAAAGGGAGCGUAGGUGGCUCGAUAAGUCAGAUGUGAAAUCCCCGGGCUCAACCUGGGAACUGCAUCUGAUACUGUCGUGCUAGAGUAUGUGAGAGGAAGGUAGAAUUCCAGGUGUAGCGGUGAAAUGCGUAGAGAUCUGGAGGAAUACCGAUGGCGAAGGCAGCCUUCUGGCAUAAUACUGACACUGAGGCUCGAAAGCGUGGGUAGCAAACAGGAUUAGAUACCCUGGUAGUCCACGCCGUAAACGAUGUCUACUAGUCGUUGG
rnacentral:rRNA from 1 species